GACGAACGCUGGCGGCGUGCCUAACACAUGCAAGUCGAGCGGAGUCAGUAAGAGGAAGUUUUCGGAUGGAAUCUUAUUGAUUUAGCGGCGGACGGGUGAGUAACGCGUGAGCGACCAACCUUGCACAGGGGGAUAACGGACCGAAAGGUUCACUAAUACCGCAUGAGACCACGGUGUUGCAUGACACAGGGGUCAAAGGAGCAAUCCGGUGCAAGACGGGCUCGCGUCCGAUUAGGUAGUUGGAGGGGUAACGGCCCACCAAGCCUAUGAUCGGUAGCCGACCUGAGAGGGUGAUCGGCCACAUUGAAACUGAGAUACGGUCCAAACUCCUACGGGAGGCAGCAGUGGGGAAUAUUGGGCAAUGGGGGAAACCCUGACCCAGCAACGCCGCGUGAAGGAAGAAGGUUUUCGGAUUGUAAACUUCUGUCCUUGGUGAGGAGAAGAAGACGGUAGCCAAGGAGGAAGCCCCGGCUAACUACGUGCCAGCAGCCGCUGUAA
rnacentral:rRNA from 1 species